UACGUAGGGCGCAAGCGUUAUCCGGAAUUAUUGGGCGUAAAGGGCUCGUAGGCGGUUUGUCGCGUCGGGAGUGAAAACCAGGUGCUUAACACCUGGCUUGCUUUCGAUACGGGCAGACUAGAGGUAUUCAGGGGAGAACGGAAUUCCUGGUGUAGCGGUGAAAUGCGUAGAUAUCUGGAGGAACACCGGUGGCGAAGGCGGCAUCCUGGACCGGCAUUGACGCUGAGGCGCGAAAGCCAGGGGAGCAAACGGG
rnacentral:rRNA from 1 species